UACGAAGGGGGCUAGCGUUGUACGGAAUUACUGGGCGUAAAGCGCGCGCAGGCGGUCUUUCAAGUCAGUGGUGAAAGCCCGGAGCUCAACUCCGGAAUUGCCAUUGAAACUGUAAGACUUGAGGAUGAGAGAGGUGAGUGGAAUUCCCAGUGUAGAGGUGAAAUUCGUAGAUAUUGGGAGGAACACCGGUGGCGAAGGCGGCUAACUGGAUCAUUUCUGACGCUCAGGCGCGACAGCGUGGGGAUCAAACAGG
rnacentral:misc_RNA from 1 species